GCGAACGCUGGCGGCAGGCUUAACACAUGCAAGUCGAGCGGGCAUCCUUGUGGUGUCAGCGGCAGACGGGUGGGUAACGCGUGGGAACGUGCCCUUCGGUUCGGAAUAACUCAGGGAAACUUGAGCUAAUACCGGAUACGUGCGAGAGCAGAAAGGUUUAUCUGCCGAAGGAUCGGCCCGCGUCUGAUUAGCUAGUUGGUGAGGUUACGGCUCACCAAGGCGACGAUCAGUAGCUGGUCUGAGAGGAUGAUCAGCCACACUGGGACUGAGACACGGCCCAGACUCCUACGGGAGGCAGCAGUGGGGAAUAUUGGACAAUGGGGGCAACCCUGAUCCAGCCAUGCCGCGUGAGUGAUGACGGCCUUAGGGUUGUAAAGCUCUUUUCUCCGGGACGAUAAUGACGGUACCGGAGGAAUAAGCCCCGGCUAACUUCGUG
rnacentral:rRNA from 1 species